rnacentral:rRNA from 1 species
UGUCGUCAGCUCGUGUCGUGAGAUGUUGGGUUAAGUCCCGCAACGAGCGCAACCCUUGUCUUAUGUUGCCAGCACGUUGUGGUGGGGACUCGUAAGAAACUGCCGGGGUUAACUCGGAGGAAGGUGGGGAUGACGUCAAAUCAUCAUGCCCCUUAUGUCCAGGGCUUCACACAUGCUACAAUGGUCGGUACAGUGGGUUGCCAGUCCGUGAGGGCGAGCUAAUCCCGUAAAGCCGGUCUCAGUUCGGAUCGGGGUCUGCAACUCGACCCCGUGAAGUCGGAGUCGCUAGUAAUCGCAGAUCAGCAACGCUGCGGUGAAUACGUUCCCGGGCCUUGUACAC